CAAAGAAAAGCACUAGGGUUUGCACGGGGAUCCUUUUGGUUCCUGUAUCUAUAGGUCAGCCAGACUCCCAGAAUCUCUGUGAAACUGAAGAAAAGUCCUAUGCCUCCAACAAAUCUGAGCACCAUUCCAGAAUAUUCUUCUAUUAUCGGUGCACAUGGCUGACACUGGUGACUUCUAAAACAAUCAGAGGAGCAGGUUUCAUUCGGAUCAAAAAAUCUGAAUCCACAACAAUUCAGAUUUCUCUCAAGAUCUGUUCUUGCACUUUUAGUGUUAUUCCAUCCCACCUCUAGAAGUUGACUCUGCUGUUCCUUGUUCAGUGCCAAACAGGCACAGGAGACAGAAAACUGGACAAUGAAGACUAGCAAAAGAAUAAUCAUGUAAAAGAACAGCAACACUUGAUG
rnacentral:lncRNA from 1 species